UACGUAGGGUGCAAGCGUUGUCCGGAAUUAUUGGGCGUAAAGAGCUCGUAGGCGGUCUGUCGCGUCUGCUGUGAAAACUCAGGGCUUAACCCCUGAGCUUGCAGUGGGUACGGGCAGACUAGAGUGCGGUAGGGGGAGACUGGAAUUCCUGGUGUAGCGGUGAAAUGCGCAGAUAUCAGGAGGAACACCCGGUGGGCGAAGGCGGGGUCUCUGG
rnacentral:rRNA from 1 species